CAAGAGGGUCUCUGACUCGGUUUCUGCCCCCCACCUGCUUUUUCCUCCUCCGCAGAGGAGCCCAGUACAGAGACACGAGAAGAAGAGGAGCUGAAGUUCAACGAGGACAUCGUGUGCCCCCACGGCAACCUUUGCACCUUGGAGAACGAGAGGCGCGUGGUCUGCAGGGAAGCCUGGGAGAAGCUCCAGCGCUACUUCCGGAACGCCCCGGAGUUCCCCAGCAGCAGAGACUCCUGCUCCCAGUGCAAGAUUCUGGAGCGGGAAGGGGAGGAGAACGAAGCCCUGCACAAAAUGAUGGCCGGGGAGCAGAAGGCCAGCCUGCCCCACCUCUUCCAGGACAAGAACCGGCCCUGCCUCAGCAGCUGGCCUGAGGUGGGGGAGA